CCUUUAUCUAUACCAGGCAUCCUCAAACUGCGGCCCUCCAGCUGUUGCAAAACUAUAACUCCCAGCAUACCCGAACAGCCUACAAGUAUCAGCCUAGAGCAGGGCAUUGUGGGAGUUGUAGUUUUACAACAGCUGGAGGGCUGCAGUUUGAGGGUGCCUGCUCUA